UCCCAAAAAAAUUCCCCAAAUCGCUCCCUCCGCAACCCCACGCCCCUGACGAAACCGCCGCCUCCGCACUCCCUCCCUGACGAAACCGCCGCCUCCGCAUUCCGUCACACACAUUCCAGAUCCUGGUAGCUGUAUGGCGGUCCCGCGACAUUGCAAAACUCAGAACCAUCAUAAGCCGCCCAAGCUACAAGCCCAGGUCUGCCUCAGGGUCAUCAGGCGGCGCUGGAUCCCCAUCAUGGCACCCUUGCUUCGUCCUAGAGAGAACACACAAGAUCACCUUGCGCACCAGUGCCGUCCUCAAUUGAUCCUGCCAGCCGCCCUUCCUGCCUUCUCUGCACCACCGCCGGACCUCAGGUCCGCUGCAUCGCCGUCUGGCCGGCCGGCCAGCCGUCCCAAGAUCGACUACAAGAUCCCGCAAGGAGCUAGAGAGUCAACGCUGCAGACCAGCACACGAGUUGUACGCUGGAAGGUUAAGGUUUGUUUUCAGAAUGCAUUACCAACUAUUUUUCUGGUGUAUCUUUGUUCAUUAUUCCAAGGACCAUGUAGUCGAGAAUGAGUUGAUUUACCAUGUUCGGCUUUGUAGCGUCCAAUGCAAGGAUCAGAUGCUAGGACGUUUUUUACUUGUGUCAGAGAAUAACUUUGGGAUUAGGAUAAAAUGCUCUGCUGCAAUAUUUCUCCUUCGUUCGCUGGAUCAAGAAAAUAAAGUUUUCUAGAAGCAUUUUAAUGUAUGAUGUAUCCUGUAAAGUUGCCUGUCUAUACUGGAUUCAUGAAUGUAGAACAGUCUGUAGUAAUGCCUAAUGGAAAUAACUCUUGAUUUCUAUUGGUAUAUGUAUAUGAAUGCAGUUUACCGAUGUAAACAUCAUUGGAAGUAUAGGUAAGCAAGGUCGAAGUUCAUCUUCACUAUUCUUCCUUUGCUGAUAUUGAAGCUGCACCUCCUAUAGAACUUGAGUCAACAGUUACUGAUCCAAUGAUGUGUGUGGACGAUGGGUUGAAAGGUAUUUAGCAAACAACCUAGAGAGAUACUGUAGAGGUACUAUAUCCUAAAGAAGACAUGUGUGCAGAUCCUAAACAGGACAAGAGUCGGAAGGAUAUGGAGUGGUAUGCAAAAAGUAAAUGAUGAGAUCUUAAAGCGCUGACGCCAAUCCCAGGAGCUUAAAAAGCAGUCAACGAUCUGGUCUGGGUUAAUUUUUCCUUUCAAAAAUUUCCCUAUGAAGUUCCUUUUUGUUUCUACCGGUUGUUUCUACUUUUUAUUUUGCAAGAAGAUGCCCAAGAUCAAUGAUAUGAGAGGAUAUAAACCUAGAACUACAUAAUAUAUGUUGUUGAGAUAUUAUUUUCUUAAUUGAUCACUCAGAGGUGUUAAACAUAUACCAGCAGGCUAAACCACAUUUUUUUCUUAUAGGUUAGUUGUGUCAAUGCUUUGUAAAAUGCAUAGGUGUAAGUUGGGCUUGGUUUCAAUAUUUUCACAGUUGUGCCUAAAUUAUUGCAGAUCAAUUACUAAAAUUUAAUUAUUUUUUCCUUCCACAUAUGCUAUUCUAAAUAGUAGUAGAUGGUAAUAGUUUGAUCUGCACACGGUGGGUAAGUAUUGUCAGGUAACCAUGUGUUAUACUGGAUCCAGUAUAUUUGUUAAUGUUACCUGAAAAUCUUAUCAUCUAUCCUGCAGGGUUUUACAUAUUGUUUUUUCUUAUAUAUGCAGCAGAAAUGCUAAUUUAUUAAUCACAAUUUAGCUCCACAUUAUUUGUGAGUUUGGACUUCUUGUUUCUCAUGUUGUUCCAAUAUUACUUUGGUCGUGCUAUUUAUUUUCUACAUUGGUAGUGCUCAGUUAGGAUUUUGAGCAUAAUUUGGCAUGUACAUCUCAUGAACUUAGCACCAUAUUAUUGAAUUAAUUAGGGCCCCGUUGCAUAUAUUCAAAAUUUGGCACACGGUGAAAUCAGAUAUCAAGCAAACACAAUGUCUAUCGUGUUUUAGUUUGAUGUACAAUUGUUCAACUUUUAACAGUUUAUUUGGCCACUCAAAGGAAACUUCACUUCAACUUGACGGAUACAUGUGAAAUAUUUCUUUUUUUAAGGGAUGCAAGUAGCUUUUGCUCUUAGAAAAAUUAUAUACAACAUAGAUUCUUCAUCUGUAUUUUUUCUUUAUCAUUGUUUUCUUUUCUAUUAAGUAAUGUUUUCUUUACUGGUGUCCUUCAGACAUCGUAUCGUGGACUGAAGGGGGCUGACUUUCAUUGGUGGCUUCAUAUUUACUCAUGAGUUAUUAUGAAUACCAAUUAUGCAUUUAUCAUGGCCAACUAGAACCAGGGACAACUUUCUCAUAAAAUCUUUAUACGAGAUUGUUAGGCUGAUGUUGGGAUAGGUAUUAUACUUGCACCAUUUCAAUACAAUACACGAUCCAUAUUUUGAUUAGACUUUUUUUGCGGGAAAUAUUUUGAUUAGACUUAUUCCUAUAUCAAGUGGAAGAGAAGGAUCUGGAAAUGUAGCAAGAAAUACAUAUAUGAGAUUCCUAGCAUGUCCUUGAUCACUAACAACCAUGGCCGAGGCAAAUGUAUCUAAAUAAAUUAGAAUGCACUCCUGUAGUAAUCAUGGUGACUUAUGUUUUCUUAUUGUUUCAAGUAUUUUUCUCAUUUCUGAGACGCGAUUUAUGGUCAUGUCUACUCUCUAUUAUAUGGAACUGCUUAUAUGUCAUGUAGUUUUAUAUUCCUACUGUUGAGCAGUCUACAUUAUAUCAGAAAAGGCAGGACAACAUCAUAGAUGUA